rnacentral:rRNA from 1 species
AGUGAACGCUGGCGGUAGGCCUAACACAUGCCAGUCGAACGGCAGCACAGUAAGAGCUUGCUCUUACGGGUGGCGAGUGGCGGACGGGUGAGGAAUACAUCGGAAUCUACUUUUUCGUGGGGGAUAACGUAGGGAAACUUACGCUAAUACCGCAUACGACCUACGGGUGAAAGCAGGGGAUCUUCGGACCUUGCGCGAUUGAAUGAGCCGAUGUCGGAUUAGCUAGUUGGCGGGGUAAAGGCCCACCAAGGCGACGAUCCGUAGCUGGUCUGAGAGGAUGAUCAGCCAAACUGGAACUGAGACACGGUCCAGACGACUACGGGAGGAAGCAGUGGGGAAUAUUGGACAAUGGGCGCAAGCCUGAUCCAGCCAUACCGCGUGGGUGAAGAAGGCCUUCGGGUUGUAAAGCCCUUUUGUUGGGAAAGAAAAGCAGCAGGUUAAUACCCCGCUGUUCUGACGGUACCCAAAGAAUAAGCACCGGCUAACUUCGUG